GUCUUAAAAGCUUGAAGCGACUCGUUUUGUAAGCGGGGAGAGACCAGAGGAAGCCUGGUUUAAGACU
rnacentral:tRNA from 1 species